GAUGAACGCUGGCGGCGUGCUUAACACAUGCAAGUCGAACGGAAAGGCCCUGCUUUUGUGGGGUGCUCGAUUGGCGAACGGGUGAGUAACACGUGAGUAACCUGUCCUUGACUUUGGGAUAACUUCAGGAAACUGGGGCUAAUACCGGAUAGGAGCUCCUGCUGCAUGGUGGGGGUUGGAAAGUUUCGGCGGUUGGGGAUGGACUGGCGGCUUAUCAGCUUGUUGGUGGGGUAGUGGCUUACCAAGGCUUCGACGGGUAGCCCGCCUGGGAGGGUAACCGGCCACCUUGGGACUGAGAGACGGCGCAGAAUCCUACGGGAGGCAGCAGGGGGGAGUAUUACACAAUAGCCGGGAGCCAGAUGCGGCAGCGCCGCGUGCGGGAUGACGGGCUUCGAGUUGUAAACCAAUUUCGCAUGUGACGUAGCGUGCGUGACGGUAAUGGGUAAGAAAGCCCCGGCUAACUACGUG
rnacentral:rRNA from 1 species